rnacentral:rRNA from 1 species
UGAGGAAUAUUGGUCAAUGGGCGCAAGCCUGAACCAGCCAUCCCGCGUGAAGGAUGAAGGUCCUAUGGAUUGUAAACUUCCUUUAUACACCAAGAAAAACUCGAACGUGUUCGAGCCCGACGGUAGUGUAUGAAUAAGCAUCGGCUAACUCCGUGCCAGCAGCCGCGGUAAUACGGAGGAUGCAAGCGUUAUCCGGAUUUAUUGGGUUUAAAGGGUGCGUAGGCGGCUUUUUAAGUCAGUGGUGAAAUCUUGCCGCUUAACGGUAAAAUUGCCAUUGAUACUGAUAAGCUUGAUUACAAUUAAGAUAAGCGGAAUGUGUAGUGUAGCGGUGAAAUGCUUAGAUAUUACACAGAACACCGAUGGCGAAGGCAGCUUACUAACCGGUUACUGACGCUGAUGCACAAAAGCGUGGGGAGCGAAAA